rnacentral:tRNA from 1 species
GCCCGGGUGGUCUAGUGGUAUGAUUCUCGCUUAGUAAGUUCCACUUAAGAUUACCACACUUAGUUAUCUUGUUACUAACAAUUCCCCAGGGGUUCACCCUUAGCAAAUAUGCGAGAGGUCCCGCGUUCGAUCCGCGGCUCGGGCC